rnacentral:rRNA from 1 species
UUCCGGUUGAUCCCGCCGGAGGUUACUGCUAUCGAGGUUCGACUAAGCCAUGCGAGUCGAAUGUAGCAAUACAUGGCGAACUGCUCAGUAACACGUGGACAACCUGCCCUUAGGUUGGGUAUAAACCCGGGAAACUGGGUAUAAUACCCGAUAGGUCUCGAUUGCUGGAAUGCAUCGAGAUUUAAAGCUCCGGCGCCUAAGGAUGGGUCUGCGGCCUAUCAGGUAGUAGUGGGUGUAGCGUACCUACUAGCCUACGACGGGUACGGGUUGUGAGAGCAAGAGCCCGGAGAUGGAUUCUGAGACACGAAUCCAGGCCCUACGGGGUGCAGCAGGCGCGAAAACUUUACAAUGCUGGCAACAGCGAUAAGGGAACCUCGAGUGCCAGGUUACAAAUCUGGCUGUCGAGAUGCCUAAAAAGCAUUUCAUAGCAAGGGCCGGGCAAGACCGGUGCCAGCCGCCGCGGUAACACCGGCGGCUCGAGUGGUAACCGUUAUUAUUGGGUCUAAAGGGUCUGUAGCCGGCCGGAUAAGUCUCUUGAGAAAUCUGGCAGCUUAACUGUCAGGCUUUCAGGAGAUACUGUCUGGCUCGAGGCCGGGAGAGGUGAGAGGUACUUCAGGGGUAGGGGUGAAAUCUUGUAAUCCUUGAAGGACCACCAGUGGCGAAGGCGUCUCACCAGAACGGACCUGACGGCAAGGGACGAAAGCUAGGGGCACGAACCGGAUUAGAUACCCGGGUAGUCCUAGCCGUAAACGAUACUCGCUAGGUGUCGGCCACGGUGCGACCGUUGUCGGUGCGUAGGGAAGCCGUGAAGCGAGCCACCUGGGAAGUACGGCCGCAAGGCUGAAACUUAAAGGAAUUGGCGGGGGAGCA